rnacentral:rRNA from 1 species
GCCGCGUGAGUGAAGAAGUAUUUCGGUAUGUAAAGCUCUAUCAGCAGGGAAGAAAAUGACGGUACCUGACUAAGAAGCCCCGGCUAACUACGUGCCAGCAGCCGCGGUAAUACGUAGGGGGCAAGCGUUAUCCGGAUUUACUGGGUGUAAAGGGAGCGUAGACGGCGAGACAAGUCUGAAGUGAAAGCCCGGGGCUCAACCCCGCGGACUGCUUUGGAAACUGCCUUGCUGGAGUGUCGGAGAGGUAAGUGGAAUUCCUAGUGUAGCGGUGAAAUGCGUAGAUAUUAGGAGGAACACCAGUGGCGAAGGCGGCUUACUGGACGAUAACUGACGUUGAGGCUCGAAAGCGUGGGGAGCAAACAGGACUAGAUACCCUGGUAGUCCACGCCGUAAACAAUGAAUGUUAAGGUGUUGGGGAGCAAAAAUCCUCGGGUGCGCCCCCAAACGCCAUUAAGCAUUCCCCCCGGGGGAAGUACGUUCGCAAGAAAGAAAACUCAAAGGAAAUGGACGGGGGCCCCGCACAAGCGGUGGAGCAUGUGGUUUAAUUUGAAGCAACGCGAAGAACCUUACCAAGUCUUGACAUCCUCUUGACCGACGAGUAACGUCGUCUUCCCUUCGGGGCAAGAGAGACAGGUGGUGCAUGGUUGUCGUCAGCUCGUGUCGUGAGAUGUUGGGUUAAGUCCCGCAACGAGCGCAACCCUUAUCCUUAGUAGCCAUCAUUAAGUUGGGCACUCUAGGGAGACUGCCAGGGAUAACCUGGAGGAAGGUGGGGAUGACGUCAAAUCAUCAUGCCCCUUAUGAUUUGGGCUACACACGUGCUACAAUGGCGUAAACAAAGAGAAGCGAGACCGCGAGGUGGAGCAAAUCUCAGAAAUAACGUCUCAGUUCGGAUUGUAGUCUGCAACUCGACUACAUGAAGCUGGAAUCGCUAGUAAUCGCGAAUCAGAAUGUCGCGGUGAAUACGUUCCCGGGUCUUGCACACAGCGCCCGUCA